UUGUUAUGAUUUUUAGCUUUUGCAUAAUACGAUUUUUCACGCUUCCAUUUCUCUCUCUCUAUUGUUGUCUGUUAUAUCUUGUUAACAUUUGUUUUUCUCUUUCUUGGAUCCAUCUUUGUCUAUAUAAGUUUUUUUUAUUAUUCAGUUUGUGGGCUUUAUUUUUGUCGUUCAAUUUCAACUUUUGGUUGUUGGUGAUGGACGACAAUUAUAUCAAUAGGCGUGGUUAUGCGUCACAUGCUCCUCCUCCUGUUUACUUUGUACCCCUGGAGAAACAUACCUCCAAAGAUGAUCUUUAUCUGAGAAAAAGAACAAGGAUGCGUAGGUGGCUGUGUUGUACCUGUCAAGCUGAGGAGUCUUACCCAUCAAAUGACAAUGAGGUCCUUAAGAGCCCCAGAAAUCAUGGUGAUGGGCAUCAAAGAGCGUCUAAGGCUUCAGCUCCUUUGAAGACUGAAGUUCAAAAGACAGUACCUCCUAUUCAAGUGCCUGCAUUGUCUCUUGAUGAACUGAAAGAAAAAACUGACAAUUUUGGAUCUAGUGCAUUAAUUGGCGAAGGAUCUUAUGGAAGAGUAUACCUUGCACAGUUGAGUAAUGGAAAAGAGGUUGCUGUUAAGAAACUUGAUGUGUCAUCUGAACCUGAUUCAAACGUCGAGUUUUUAACUCAGGUGUCAAUGGUGUCAAGGCUGAAGAAUGAAAAUCUUGUUGAGUUGCUUGGUUAUUGUGUAGAUGGCAAUCUUCGUGUCUUAGCAUAUGCGUUUGCGACCAUGGGAUCUCUACAUGACAUUUUGCAUGGAAGGAAAGGAGUACAAGGGGCACAACCGGGCCCUGUACUUGAUUGGAUACAACGUGUAAAAAUUGCUGUUGAUGCUGCAAGGGGACUCGAAUAUUUGCACGAGAAGGUUCAGCCUUCUAUAAUUCACAGAGAUAUAAGAUCCAGCAAUGUGCUUCUAUUUGAAGACUAUAAAGCCAAAAUUGCGGAUUUUAACCUAUCAAAUCAGGCUCCUGACAUGGCUGCUCGCCUUCAUUCUACUCGUGUUCUCGGAACAUUUGGUUAUCAUGCACCAGAAUAUGCAAUGACAGGACAGUUGACACAGAAGAGUGACGUGUAUAGUUUUGGGGUGGUUUUGCUUGAGCUUCUAACUGGAAGGAAACCUGUUGAUCAUACCAUGCCUCGUGGGCAGCAGAGCCUUGUUACCUGGGCCACUCCAAGACUGAGUGAGGACAAAGUUAAACAAUGUGUUGAUCCAAAACUCAAGGGAGAGUAUCCUCCGAAAGGAGUUGCUAAGGUCCUGUCUCUCUCUCUCUCUCUUCAAAUAACAAGGCAAAAUUGCACCAUCGUUCUCAAAUUUAUUGCCGGAAUAGCAAGUUGAUUCUCAACCUUUUAUUAUAGUUGCACGAUCCAUCCCCAAUGCCAGAAACCGUAUUACUCUUCAUUUGAGCCGUCACAUCCCCCUCAAAAGAAUCCCUUCAAAUUUAUUGUCACAAGGCCAAGUUGAGAAACAGAAUUUAACUUCGCAAAGUUCGACAUGGUUAGGGAACAACUUGCUAUUCGGGAAAUCAGGUGCCAGUAGUCAAUUUUUUCAGCUAGUACAUGUACCCAAUUCAUGCACUUAUAAAUAGGAAAAGAAAAGUUCACCUUUCUAAUUAUGCAACCGUGCAUCCAAUUAUUCAGCUGGCAGCUGUUGCAGCACUGUGUGUACAGUAUGAAGCUGAGUUUCGACCAAAUAUGAGCAUUGUUGUCAAGGCUUUGCAGCCACUGUUGAAGUCAACUGCCCCGGCUCCUGAGAUGUAGAGCGAGAAAAUCAGUUGCUCCGUGUUUGAAAUUCUGCUACUUCUGCCAUAAUUUGGGUUCAUUUCUGUGUGAAUUUCUUUCGCCGCUCCAUAAAUAUAUAUUUUUUCAUUUUUUUUCCCGAACUUGAAACAUGUAGGAUUGAUUGCUAUGGUUCCCUCAAGUUUUUUGCCUAUUUCAAGUAUGUUGGUGAUGUCUUUAAAAUUGUGAUUGGGCAAUGGGAUUGAGAAUGUAUUAAAGAAUCCAUAUGCUUCUCAGUUUUUAUAUAAUUCUGGAUUUGAGCUUU